rnacentral:lncRNA from 1 species
CUCCAUACAUUUUCCCUGACACCCAAAACAACUCAUUACAUUUUGACAGUAAAAUGGUCCAAUUCACACACUUGUCAAGAGAACAUCCCUGGUCAUCCCUACUGCCUCUGAUCUGGCGGACUCACUAAACACAAAUGCUUAAUUUGUAAAUUAUGUCUGAGUGUUGUAGUGUGCCACUGGCUAUCUGUCAAUAAAAAUAAACAAAUACAAUUGUGCUGUCUGGUUUGUUUAAUAUAAGUAAGUUGAAAUGAUUUAUACUUUUACUUUUGAUACUUAAGUACAUUUGAGCAAUUCCAAAUACUUUUAGACUUUUGCUCAAGUAGUAUUUCACUGGGUCACUUUCACUUGAGUCAUUUUCUAUUAAGGUAUAUUUACUCUUACUCAAGUGUGACAAUCGAGUACUUUUUCCACCACUGGUUUCUGGUAAGCAAAAAAUAUGCUGAAUGUCCUUAAUUUAUGUUUUAAAAAUAUCAAAAUGUUAUUUUCUGUUGCGCUUUGUCGAGGAAUGCUUAAAUACCAUACCUUUGUCUGUACAUUAUACCAUGAAGCUAUUUUAUCGCCCCCAGAAACCUGCUCCUUUUUCUCUCUAUUCCGGACGUCACAGACGACCAAUUCUUAUAGCUUUUAGCCGUACCCUUAUCCUUAUACUUCUCUGUUCCUCUGGUGAUGUAGAGGUGAAUCCAGGCCCUGCAGUGCCUAGCUCCACUCCUACUCCCCAGGCGCUCUCUUUUGAUGACUUCUGUAACCGUAAUAGCCUUGGUUUCAUGCAUGUUAACAUUAGAAGCCUCCUCCCUAAGUUUGUUUUAUUCACUGCUUUAGCACACUCUGCCAACCCGGAUGUCCUAGCCGUGUCUGAAUCCUGGCUUAGGAAGUCCACCAAAAACUCUGAAAUCUUCAUCCCUAACUACAACGUUUUCAGACAAGAUAGAACAGCCAAAGGGGGCGGUGUUGCAAUCUACUGCAGAGAUAGCCUGCAGAGUUCUGUCCUACUAUCCAGGUCUGUACCCAAACAAUUUAAACUUCUCCUUUUAAAAAUCCAUCUCUCUAAAAACAAGUCUCUCACCGUUGCCACCUGCUAUAGACCACCCUCGGCCCCCAGCUGUGCUCUGGACACCAUAUGUGAACUGAUUUCCCCCCAUCUAUCUUCAGAGCUCGUGCUACUAGGUGACCUAAACUGGGACAUGCUUAACACCCCAGCCAUCCUACAAUCCAAGCUUGACGCCCUCAAUCUCACACAAAUUACUAAUGAACCCACCAGGUACCACCGCAAAGCCGUAAACACUGGCACCCUCAUAGAUAUCAUCCUAACCAAUUUGCCCUCUAAAUACAC